rnacentral:rRNA from 1 species
CCCUUAGACGUUCUGGGCCGCACGCGCGCUACACUGACGAAGGCAACGAGCUUUCCUUUACCGAAAGGUACGGGUAAUCUUUUGAAACUUCGUCGUGCUGGGGAUAGAUCCUUGCAAUUAUUGAUCUUAAACGAGGAAUUCCUAGUAAGCGCAAGUCAUCAACUUGCGUUGAUUACGUCCCUGCCCUUUGUACACACCGCCCGUCGCUACUACCGAUUGAAUGGUUUAGUGAGGCCUUCGGAUCCGCAACUCGUUUUGUGGAGAAGUUGGACAAACUCAGUCAUUUAGAGGAAGUAAAANUCGUAACA